GAAGCCUUCCAGAAGGAUUUGAUACCAGGCAAAGAGUCUCUUACUUCAGUGACAGCUAUGAACCUGCUUACCAAUCAGGAGAUCCCUGUAGUCAUAUCAGCAAAAUCAGAGUUUGAAGGCUACCUUGAUGCUAAAAUAGAUGCAAGAAACCUUCAAGGAGAGAAACAGAUACCAUGGAUACAUUUGUUGAUUCAGCUUGGUAUUAUUUAAGAUAUACUGAUCCCCAUAACACUGAGAGAGCAUUUGACAAAGACUUGGCAGAUCAUUGGAUGCCUGUGGAUCUGUACAUUGGAGGAAAGGAACAUGCAGUGAUGCAUUUGUACUACGCCAGGUUCAUUAAUCAUUUUUGCCAUGAUCAGAAGAUGACUAAGCAUAGGUAAGUGGGACAACCAUAAUAGCCAAAGUGAGCCCUGAAAUAACAGACAUUCUGCUCCAAAUACAACAAAAGCUUCAUAAAGAAAGCAGGUUAUCAAAUAUACUUUGUAUAGUCUUAGGCUGUGUGAACACUGGGCAUGAUAAUGUAGGGAUGAGUUAGUCCCAACCUAUUCUGCUACAGUUUUAGAGUCAUGAAGUGUGUUGCAAAAAGAAUAAUGGAUUUCUGAUCUCUAUUAUUUUGGGAAAUGCGCUUAAGUUGGUUCACUGAAAAAUGUAUAUCAAAUAUUUUUUUCUUUCUCCCAUAGCAACAACACAUACCUCUAUUUUUCAGUUUCAUAGUAAUCUUUCUAGUCAAUAUUGACUUGUGUUGUUUCAAAGAGCAUAUUACUUGUAGCAAGUUGUCAGUAAUUUGCUACAAGUAAUAUGUGCCUUUUGAAACAACACAAAUCAAGCUUGACUAGAAACCAGUUACUUUGAUAACUUGUUGCAUUUUGUUAUCAAGUUACUUUGAUGACUUAGUAUAUCUUGAAGUAAUGAGCUGGAGUAGUUUAAUCUCUUGCCUUUAAUGGUCAGGGAUAUAAUCCAGUAACUUUCAGUUACACAUAGUAAUAAAACUUUUGCGUCUUACUGAAUGUUUUCUGCCUCAGUCUGAGAAAUGAGAGGUCAAAGAGGAAGGGUCAUAUGAGUGGCUGCCUUAUGCUAUCUGUGGAAUUUGGAGCCAUUAAUGAAAAGCAGAAGAACCAACAAGAAGGAAGGAAGGCUUGGAUGAGGGGAGUGGGUAGAGAGAGAUGUGGAGACGUAAAGGAGGAAACACACUGCAAAAAUGAACAGGACUGUUGGGUCCAGUUAGGUGGAAAUUUUGAAAGAUAACUUUAAAGUUUCUGCCUUCAUCAGUUCUCUACCAAGUGAAAGAUACUGCUUCAGGCAGCUCCAAAAGAGAAAAUCAUUCUGAGUGAUGGGAGUGGAGGGUGCCUUACUAUAGGUUGGCUUCCCCAAACAGCAGCACAGAAUGUUCUCUUGAACUGGCAGGAUUAGAACAAGCUGUGAAAGAGUUUGGAAUAGGAAGGAGUUUUCUCCACAUGCCUGAAAUCGAACCAGGCAUGAGAUUUGCAGCAAUCAUUUGGAGGAGAGCGAACUGAGGAAGGAAGAGGGAGUUACUAUUCGGCAUCUCUGCCCAGAGCAUCUGUAUGCAGUCCUCGUGGAAUCUGCCUGUUAUAUAAGGUGGUUGGGGGAUAGGAAUCCAUGUAAGAGAGCCUUCUGAGAAUUAUGGUGUUCAGAGAGGGAAGAUAUCAGUAUCACAAUGGUAACAGCCACAGAAAUGUGGUAAUGUAGUAAAUUACUUUUUGGACUGCACUAACAAGCAAUGACCUGUUAGAUUAUCAGAGCAAUGUAACUUAACACUUUCUAAAAUGUCACAUUCCAAACUGCAGUUUGCAUCUAAUUUUUUAAAAUCAUUUAUUUUUAUAGUUAAGGAAUAAAAUUUAGUCACCUUCCUAUAUAUACAAAGUAUAUUAUUCAUUAACAUUGUUCAUUGUUACCAUAGCCUUUAUAUCAUUCCGACUCUUACCCAAAUUCCUCCCCCAUGUGUAACAAUCACAGCCAGCUAACAACUCCAAACAAAGGAUUCCCCCCAGGCAGGAAGCAGCCAGGCAGGUUAUAUAUGCGUGUGGGUCUGUGUAUGUGUAUGUAUGUGGCUGGAAUUCCACAUUCAAAAUAUCCCUUUUCCAAUUUCAAUAUUAUAUUUAUCUAAAUUAACAUUCACAGCCAGCUAACAACUCCAAAGAAAGGAUUCCCCCCAGGCAGGAAGCAGCCAGGCAGGUUAUUAUAUAUGUAUAUAUAUAUAUAUGGAUGUGCAUGUGGGUCUGGGUGUGUGUAUGUGUGUGGCUGGAAUUCUACAUUCAAAAUGUCCCUUUUCCAACUUCCAAAUUAUUUUUGUCUAAAUUACCAAUCACAGCCACCUAACAACUCCAAACAAAGGAUUCCCCCCCAGGCAGGAAGCAGCCAGGCAGGUUAUUAUAUAUACAGUAGAGUCUCACUAAUCCAAGCCUCACUUAUCCAAGCCUGUGGAUAAUCCAAGCCAUUUUUGAAGUCAAUGUUUUCAAUAUAUCAAGAUAUUUUGGUGCUAAAUUCAUAAAUACAGUGAUUACAACGUAACAUUACUGCGUAUUGAACUACUUUUUCUGUCAAAUUUGUUGUAUAACAUGAUGUUUUGGUGCUUAAUUUGUAAAAUUAUAACCUAAUUUGAUGUUUAAUAGGCUUUUUCUUAAUCCCUCCUUAUUAUCCAAGAUAUUCGCUUAUCCAAGCUUCUGCCGGCCCGUUUAGCUUGGAUAAGUGAGACUCUACUGUAUAUAUAUAUAUAUAUAUAUAUAUAUAUAUAUAUGGAUGUGCGUCUGGGUCUGGGUAUGUGUAUGUAUGUAGCUGGAAUUCCACAUUCAAAAUAUCUCUUCUCCAACUUCCAAAUUAUAUUUCUCUACAUCUGGACUUAAUGUCUGGGGAAAACCUUUACCCUUGACCUUAACUACCACCAAUUCCUCAAUACUUUAGUUCCCAGACCACCAGACUUCGCCACAGCAACGCGUGGCCGGGCACAGCUAGUAUAUAUAUAUAUUCAGCUCACUAAACAUUGUUGUAACACCCAAAGCUAACAAGUAACAAUUAUCGAACUUAAAUCCGAAGCCGAUUUUCUGAAGCACGAACCCUAGAGGCCAAGGUACUCCAAAUAAGACAUAAAUAAGCAAUUUUCAGAAUGGGAAGGGAAGGAAGUAUGGCUCGACUUAGAUGGAAUACUCAGUCAGAGUAUUAGCAAGCUUGAAUUAGUCUUUGAGUAGCCAUGAAGCUUGCAAAGUCAAUCAGUGAGGGCAUCUGCAUAGAGCUAGCCUGGCCUCUGUCGCCUGGAGGCACCUUCUGUUUGGGAGGUGUUAACUGGCAGAGGGUGCCUCCAGGCAACAACAUCCAGGCUACCUCUAUGCAGAUACCCUCACUGAUUGACUCUCCAGCUUCGUAGCUACUCAAUACUAUUCAAGCUUGCUCAUUGCAACAUUCACACUUGCUUUAAGCAGACAAGGGUUCUUUCUUCCACACACACACACACAUAUAUAUAUACCGUAUAUACUCGAGUAUAAGCCGACCCGAAUAUAAGCCAAGGCACCUAAUUUUACCACAAAAAAACUGGGAUAACUUAUUGACUCGAGUAUAAGAAGAGAGUGGUAAAUUUCAGAAAUAAAAAACCAGAUACCAAUAAAAUUACAUUAAUUGAGGCAUGUUUUUAAAUCUUUACAUCAAACUGUAAUGUAAGAUACGAGUGUCCAACUCUGAUUACAUCAUUAUUUUCAUCUUCUUCAAUGUAAAUGUGCGUAUGUAUCCUUUUCAUAAUAAUAGAGUGAAAUAAUAAAUGUAAUAAUAAUAAAUGCAGUAAAAUAAUAUAUGUAAUAAUAGAGUAAAAUAAUAAAUGUAUUAAUAGUAAUAAUAAUAGAGUAAAAUAAAUGUAAAAGUAACAACAAUAAUAGAGUAAAAUAAUAUAUGUAAUAAUAAUAAUAAUAAAUACAGUAACAUAAUAAAUGUAAUAGAGUAAAAUAAUAAAUGUAUUAAUAAUAAUAAUAAUAAUAGAGUAAAAUAAAUGUAAUAGUAACAACAAUAAUAGAGAAAAAUAAUAGAUGUAAUAAUAAUAAUAAUAAUAAUAAUAAUAAUAAUAGAGUAAAAUAAUAAAUGUAACAAUACCAAUAAUAAUAGAGAAAAAUAAUAAAUAUACCAUAUAUAUUUGAGUAUAAGCCGACCUGAAUAUAAGCCCACCAGGACCCUCACUCGAGUAUAAGCCAAGGCGGGUUUUUUUCAGUCCUAAAAAAGGGCUGAAAAGCUAGGCUUAUACUCGAGUGUAGUAAUAACAACAGUAAUAAAGUAAAAUAAUAAUAAUAAAUAGAGUAAAAUAGUAAAUGUAAUAAUAUCAUUAAUAACAGGAAAAAUAAUGAAUGUACCAUAUAUUCUUGAGUAUAAGCCGACCCAAAUAUAAGCCAACCAAGACCCUCACCCGAGUAUAAGCCAAGGAGGUUUUUUUUCAGUCCUAAAAAAGGGCUGAAAAACUAGGCUUAUACUCGAGUAUAUAUGGUAUCUAUCUAUCUAUCUAUCUAUCUAUCUAUCUAUCUAUCUAUCUAUCUACACACACACACACACACACACACACACACACACACACACAGUCCAAAUGCUUUACUGCCAACAGAACCUGUGAAGAUGCCAGCCACAGAUGCAGGUGAAACAUCAGGAGAUAGUGCUUUUGAAACCUAGCCAUACAGCCUGGAAAACUCGCAACAACCUGUCCUGGAUGAGUGUGUGUCUCAUCCAGGACAGGGAAAGGAUUCGAACCCAGCUCUUCAGAGUUGUAUUCCAAUGCCCAAAACCAUGAUGUCAUGUUUCCUGCUAAUGGAAAAGUAUAGAAAUCUGGCCCUCGCAGCCUUUGCUUUAUUGCAUCCUUGCGCAUAAUUAGGAAAGCAGGCAUUGUACCAAAUGUAUGUUAGAUAUAUUUAUAUGUAUAUAUCAGAUUUCAAGGGGUAAAGUGUACUGUGUCCUUAUAAUCAAUCAGCCCUAAAAAUGCACAGUGAAAGAGCUGUGUCUUUUUAUAGGGAGGGCGAAAGCGAAAUCUUCCUCGGGCGGGUGGAGAGAGCGGCUGGAACAAAGAGCUUCCUUCGGAGGCUCGUAAAUACCGGCAAGGUGACGUGAGGUUGGCCACCCUCUCUCUGCCUGGCACACCUUGCAGGGUUGUUGUGAAGGGGAAGCAAAGGGCCAGGUGGGAUUGGGCUCCGGCGUUGGAUGGAGAUGCCCUGGGUGUCUGCGAGGCAGAGCCGCGACUUGUUAAUUCCUUUAUACAUUGACGUCUAUGGCUUUGCGGAGUAACAUGAACAGAAAAAGACAGGCCUUUGCCCCAGAGGCCUUAUAAUCUCUGUCGUGCGGGGUGUUUGUGAAGGGCAGGGAUAAACACUGGGAAACGGGAUGGAUGAAGGCUGACAGGCAAAGCUCACGCUGGAGUGAAUCUCCGCUCGGUGACGGAAUUGACCCGGCAACCUUGGGCCCAGUCUAUCAUUUUUUCCCUCUGCUUUGCCUACCUUGCAAGGCUGUUGUGAGCUUCAAGGGGAAUAAUAUGCUGCCUCAAAGCCCAUUGGAGUCUCUCCGAGGUUCUCAAGCAGAGGCUAGGAUUAUAUUAUUAUUAUUAUUAUUAUUAUUAUUAUUAUUAUUAUUAUUAUUAUUAUUAUUUUAUUAUGACACAGCAAACAAGAUCGAUAUGCUGGAUUUCGUAUCACAAAACCACAAGUCGAACACUUCCCAAGUGUCUAGGACUGUGUGAUGUAUUAUUAUUAUUAUUAUUAUUAUUAUUAUUAUUAUUAUUAUGACACAGCAAACAAGAUAGAUAUGCUGGAUUUCGUAUCACGAAAUCACAAGUCGAACACUUCCCAAGUGUCUAGGACUGUGUGAUGUAUUAUUAUUAUUAUUAUUAUUAUUAUUAUUAUGACACAGCAAACAAGAUAGAUAUGCUGGAUUUCGUAUCACGAAAUCACAAGUCGAACACUUCCCAAGUGUCUAGGACUUACUAUUAUUAUUAUUAUUAUUAUUAUUAUUAUGACACAGCAAACAAGAUAGAUAUGCUGGAUUUCAUAUCACAAAAUCACAAGUCGAACACUUCCCAAGUGUCUAGGACUGUGUGAUGUAUAUUAUUAUUAUUAUUAUUGAUGGUGAUGGUGAUGAUGAUGGAGUCUCCAUUUUCAGAAUCCUAGAGCUGGAAGAGACCCCCAGUCUGGAUGGCCAUCUGUUAGGAGGGCUUAGCUGGUGUCUUCUGCUCUGUCAGAUCGGGGUUGGACUGGAUGCUCUCGAGAGGUCUCUUCCAGCUCGAUGAUCCUAUAAGUCAGUGUCCUAUCCGCUUAUCAACUCCACUGCCACUUCUCUUCUGCCAAGGUGCCCUUCCCAAUAAAAGCCAGCUC